UUUAAACAAAUAUGAAAGUGUUUUAUUAUAUUGAAACAAAAGUUUUUUUUUGUUAGCUAUCUAGAUUACACUCACUUUUUUAUUUAAAGAUAAACACUCUCUUUUGUGGUUUACGCCCGUUUACUUUAAAAAACUUGGAUAGUUUUGGUUUUUUAUUCUUUAAAUUUUGUCGUCGCAAAAUUUGUUCUUCCAAAUUGAUAUUUAUUUUAUAAAGUAUUUAAGAUUAAUGUUAAAUUGGAAAAUGAAGGAUUUUAACCACAGGAAAUUCCAGAGCGACGGUUGGAGCACGCAAUCCAGCAUCGUAUUUAUUUUUUUUGAAAUAUGAGCAUAGAUGAUUAUCAUCCAGGCCGAAAUCUGCAAGGAGCGUAGUGAAUGUUACAUUGACAAACCAAUAAUGUUCAGUUGGGGAACAAAUGCUAGCAGGAGUUAUCAAUUUAAAACCUUCCCUUUGUAAUAUGUUCAGCAAUAAAAUCAUCAGGUGAUCAUCAUGUGGUUGUAGUCUAUGGCAAUUGCUGCACUUAA